UGGGGAAUUUUGGACAAUGGGGGAAACCCUGAUCCAGCCAUCCCGCGUGUGCGAUGAAGGCCGGCGGGUUGUAAAGCACUUUUGGCAGGAAAGAAACGUCAUGGGUUAAUACCCCGUGAAACUGACGGUACCUGCAGAAUAAGCACCGGCUAACUACGUGCCAGCAGCCGCGGUAAUACGUAGGGUGCAAGCGUUAAUCGGAAUUACUGGGCGUAAAGCGUGCGCAGGCGGUUCGGAAAGAAAGAUGUGAAAUCCCAGAGCUCAACUUUGGAACUGCAUUUUUAACUACCGGGCUAGAGUGUGUCAGAGGUAGGUGGAAUUCCGCGUGUAGCAGUGAAAUGCGUAGAUAUGCGGAGGAACACCGAUGGCGAAGGCAGCCUCCUGGGAUAACACUGACGCUCAUGCACGAAAGCGUGGGGAGCAAACAGG
rnacentral:rRNA from 1 species